CAAUAGCGUAUAUUAAAGUUGUUGCAGUUAGAACGCUCGUAGUCGGAUUUCGGGGCGUUCCGACCGGUCUGCCGAUGGGUAUGCACUGGCCGGAGUGUCCUUUUUGCCGGAGACCGUGCCUACUCUUAACUGAGCGGGGGCGGGAGACGGCACUUUUACUUUGAAAAAAUCAGAGUGUUUCAAGCAGGCAGCUCGCUCUUGCAUGGAUUAGCAUGGGAUAAUGAAAUAGGACUUUGGUGCUAUUUUGUUGGUUUCGAACACCGAAGUAAUGAUGAGAAGGGACAGUCAGGGGCACUCGUAUUCCGCAGAGAGAGGUGAAAUUCUCAGACCCGCGGAAGACGAACCACUGCGAAAGCAUUUGCCAGGGAUGUUUUCACUAA
rnacentral:rRNA from 1 species